UCGAACGAACUCUGGUAUUGAUUGGUGCUUGCAUCAUGAUUUACAUUUGAGUGAGUGGCGAACUGGUGAGUAACACGUGGGAAACCUGCCCAGAAGCGGGGGAUAACACCUGGAAACAGAUGCUAAUACCGCAUAACAACUUGGACCGCAUGGUCCGAGUUUGAAAGAUGGCUUCGGCUAUCACUUUUGGAUGGUCCCGCGGCGUAUUAGCUAGAUGGUGGGGUAACGGCUCACCAUGGCAAUGAUACGUAGCCGACCUGAGAGGGUAAUCGGCCACAUUGGGACUGAGACACGGCCCAAACUCCUACGGGAGGCAGCAGUAGGGAAUCUUCCACAAUGGACGAAAGUCUGAUGGAGCAACGCCGCGUGAGUGAAGAAGGGUUUCGGCUCGUAAAACUCUGUUGUUAAAGAAGAACAUAUCUGAGAGUAACUGUUCAGGUAUUGACGGUAUUUAACCAGAAAGCCACGGCUAACUACGUGCCAGCAGCCGCGGUAAUACGUAGGUGGCAAGCGUUGUCCGGAUUUAUUGGGCGUAAAGCGAGCGCAGGCGGUUUUUUAAGUCUGAUGUGAAAGCCUUCGGCUCAACCGAAGAAGUGCAUCGGAAACUGGGAAACUUGAGUGCAGAAGAGGACAGUGGAACUCCAUGUGUAGCGGUGAAAUGCGUAGAUAUAUGGAAGAACACCAGUGGCGAAGGCGGCUGUCUGGUCUGUAACUGACGCUGAGGCUCGAAAGUAUGGGUAGCAAACAGGAUUAGAUACCCUGGUAGUCCAUACCGUAAACGAUGAAUGCUAAGUGUUGGAGGGUUUCCGCCCUUCAGUGCUGCAGCUAACGCAUUAAGCAUUCCGCCUGGGGAGUACGGCCGCAAGGCUGAAACUCAAAGGAAUUGACGGGGGCCCGCACAAGCGGUGGAGCAUGUGGUUUAAUUCGAAGCUACGCGAAGAACCUUACCAGGUCUUGACAUACUAUGCAAAUCUAAGAGAUUAGACGUUCCCUUCGGGGACAUGGAUACAGGUGGUGCAUGGUUGUCGUCAGCUCGUGUCGUGAGAUGUUGGGUUAAGUCCCGCAACGAGCGCAACCCUUAUUAUCAGUUGCCAGCAUUAAGUUGGGCACUCUGGUGAGACUGCCGGUGACAAACCGGAGGAAGGUGGGGAUGACGUCAAAUCAUCAUGCCCCUUAUGACCUGGGCUACACACGUGCUACAAUGGAUGGUACAACGAGUUGCGAACUCGCGAGAGUAAGCUAAUCUCUUAAAGCCAUUCUCAGUUCGGAUUGUAGGCUGCAACUCGCCUACAUGAAGUCGGAAUCGCUAGUAAUCGCGGAUCAGCAUGCCGCGGUGAAUACGUUCCCGGGCCUUGUACACACCGCCCGUCACACCAUGAGAGUUUGUAACACCCAAAGUCGGUGG
rnacentral:rRNA from 2 species